UCCCCUCCCAACCAACUGAUUCAAAUCGCCCCCGAUGCUAUGCGUAUAGUGUGUGUCGGUGUGAGAGCGGAGCGAGAGAACCAGAGAUUUGAUAGUGCCCAGUCGUGUGGGAGGAUUCAAGCCGAGAGACAGGUACCCAGGUCGGGCAAAAGCAGCGGGGGACGCCACGAGGAUCGAGGCUACAUUAGAUCAACGGACGAAGUGUAAAGAUUGAAGUCUGGUCACGCACAACACGUCCCAUCUUCUCCUCUCCUCCUUUUCCCAAGUCCGUUCCUUUAAACAAUCACCAUCAUGGCUUCCAAACUAAACCCGAAUGUCUUGUACGUCCAAGAACUGCGGGAGUCGACGUCUUCACAGGAAUCUGACCGCCUAGCACCGCCCGAACCCGGGGAAGAGAGCUCGGACAGCGAUGGAGAGACGGACGAGACGGAGCAGAAGCUGAUCCGGAAAGUGUCCACCUCAGGACAGUUACGUGCCAAGAAAAGUGUAAAGGAAGGGAUCCUAUUGAAACAGACCAGUUCUUUCCAGAGAUGGAAGAGGAGAUACUUCAAACUGAGAGGCCGGACACUUUACUAUGCCAAAGACUCCAAGUCUCUGAUAUUUGACGAGGUGGACCUAUCAGACGCCAGCGUGGCCGAGACCAGUACCAAGAACAUCAACAACAGCUUCACGGUGAUCACUCCAUUCAGGAAGUUGAUGCUGUGUGCUGAGAGCAGGAAGGAGAUGGAGGAUUGGAUCGGUGCUCUGAAGUCUGUACAGAAAUGGGAAACGUAUGAGGCCAGUCUAUUCAAUAUGGAACAUUUUUCUGGGAUGCAUAACUGGUACGCCUGCUCCCACGCCAGACCCACCUUCUGUAAUGUGUGUAGAGAGGCCCUCUCCGGAGUCACUUCCCAUGGACUGUCCUGCGAAGUGUGUAAAUUCAAAGCCCAUAAGCGAUGUGCGGUGCGCUCCACCAACACCUGUAAAUGGACCACGCUGGCCUCCAUAGGAAAUGACAUCAUGGAGGACGACGAAGGGGUCUCCAUGCCUCAUCAGUGGUUAGAAGGGAACCUACCGGUCAGUGCGAAGUGUGUGGUGUGUGACAAGAACUGUGGCAGUGUCAGGAGACUGCAGGACUGGAGAUGUCUAUGGUGCAAGGCUAUUGUGCACAGCAGCUGUAAGGAGCAGAUGGGAAAGGCGUGUCCUCUGGGUCAAUGUCGGGUGUCAAUCAUCCCUCCCACAACCCUCAAUAGUAUCGACUCUGACGGCUUUUGGAAGGCCACCUCUCCCUCCUGCACCUCCCCUCUCCUGGUGCUGUGUAACUCUAAGAGCGGAGACAACCAAGGGGUUAAGUUUCUAAGGAAAUUCAAACAGCUGCUCAACCCUGCACAGGUCUUUGACUUGAUGAACGGAGGACCACAGCUGGGUCUGCGUGUGUUCCAGAAGUUCGCUACGUUUCGUAUCUUGGUGUGUGGCGGGGACGGUAGUGUUGGCUGGGUCCUGUCUGAACUGGAUAAACUCAACCUGCACAAACAAUGUCAGCUAGGGGUCCUCCCUCUGGGUACAGGUAAUGACCUAGCCAGGGUGCUGGGAUGGGGAGGACUAUGUGAUGAUGAUGCUCAACUGCUACAGAUCCUGGAGAAGCUGGAGAGAGCCACCACCAAGAUGCUUGACAGGUGGAGUGUGAUGACAUACGAGCUGCCUACCAAACACUAUCCCAUGGUGAAGGAAGACGAUUUUAGUCCCGACUCCCCCUUGCAGGUUCACAUCACUCAGUAUGCAGACUCUGUGGCCUCCCACCUCACCAAGAUCCUGGACUCUGACAAACAUACGGACGUCAUAUCCUCUGCCAAGUUUUUGUGUGGAACGGUAAAUGAUUUUGUAGCGGAGGUGGGGAGAGCAUACGAGAGAGCUACAGAGAACAAGGAGGAGGCAGACGCUAUGGCCAAGAAGUGUGCCCUGUUGAAUGAGAAACUGGACAGUCUGGUGAAGGCUCUGAGUGAGGAGGCUGAUGCCCAGGUGGUCCCAGCCGGCAGUGUGCCACCCCAGGAUGGGGACCAGGAGAGGGGUACAGACACUACCGGAGGGGAACCCCGGCCCCCAUACAGGUCCAGAGAACAGCUGAUGCUGAGAGCUAACAGUCUGAAGAAAGCACUGAGACAGAUAAUAGAACAGGCUGAGAAAGUGGUGGAUGAACAGAAUAAACACACUCAUCUCCAGCGCAUGUCUUCCUCCUCCUCCAUCAAGAGAGAGAACAGUGAGGAACUGAAAGAGGCAGAGCCACCCAUUAUGCCUCUCUCAGGUCACGUCAGUUUAAGCCCCUCUUCCUCCUCCUCCACUAUUGUCCUGGAGAAACCAGAGAGUCUCAGCCCUCCGUCUUUCAACGAAGAUCAGUGCUCAGAGAAGUGUGUAAUGAACAACUACUUUGGGAUCGGUCUGGAUGCUAAGAUCUCCCUGGAGUUCAACAACAAGAGAGAUGAACAUCCCAAGAAAUGCAGUAGUCGUACUAAGAACAAGUUGUGGUAUGGAGUGAUGGGCACCAAGGAACUGGUACAUAAGACAUACAAGAAUCUGGAACAACGAGUACUGUUGGAAUGUGAUGGUGUACCUAUGUGUCUGCCUAGUCUUCAGGGUCUAGCUGUUCUCAACAUCCCGAGCUAUGCGGGGGGAAUCAACUUCUGGGGGGGAACCAAAGAGGACAACAAUUUUGGCGCUCCGUCGUUUGAUGAUAAGAAGUUAGAGGUGGUGGCUGUGUUUGGCAGUAUGCAGAUGGCUGUAUCCAGAGUCAUCAACAUCCAACACCACCGCAUAGCACAGUGUCGUCAGGUGAAGAUAACUAUCCUAGGGGAGGAGGGUGUACCAGUACAGGUGGAUGGAGAAGCAUGGAUCCAACCUCCAGGGAUAGUCAAGAUCACACACAAGAACAGAGCUCAGAUGCUCACCAGAGACAGGAACUUUGAGAGGACUCUAACAUCAUGGGAGGAUAAGAGGAAGAUUGACACCUACCGUUCCUCCAGGCCCCGCCUCAACUCUCAGCAGUCUAUGGAAUACCUCACAGAGGAGGAAUGUGCUCAAGUACAGCAACUGGGGAUGGUGGCAGACACACUCAUCACUAGGAUAAGAGAGGCAGCUAAGACCCACAAACUGGUAGAACAGGAGUUAGCCCAUGCUGUCAAUGCUAGUGCCAUGGUCCUCACUGAAGCAUUCCCCUUCAAACCAUCCAGCCCUGAGUGUCUGAGUCGCAGUACAGCAGUGGAGAUUGUGAACAGCAGUAAAGUCCUUCAGCUGGAGACCAGGAUGCUGCUGGAGGGAAAACUACUGCUGGACUCUCCCCAGGAAGAGGACCUUCUCUCUACUCUCAACUCUCUGAGUGCUGAACUCCACAAGCUAGAUGAUAUACACUGGAUCUGCCCUGCCAUGCACUGCUCAGAGGAAGUGGAUGACUCUGUGAGAGUGAGUGGCAAGAGUAGUAUGAAGCUAAAGAUGAUGCCCAAGGUGAGGAAGGAGAGAGAGAAGCUCCACAAGCAGAUGUCCAACAGCUCUCUGUCAGGACAAUGACCCAACACACCUCCAGGCUGUGUAAGGGCUAUUUGACCAAGAAGCAGAGUGAUGGAGUGCUGCAUCAGAUGACCUGGCCUCCACAAUCACCCGAUCUCAACCCAAUUGAGAUGGUUUGGGAUGAGUUGGAUUGCAGAGUGAAGGAAAAGCAGCCAACAAGUGCUUAGCAUACAUGAUCUUGGGAUAUUAAAGGUGGGGCAUGUGAGACGGAUCCUUCAGGCAAUUGAGGAACUUAACGAGGAGGCUUAAGAAGACAGCUGUCACUAUGGCAACCGGAGGGGGGAUAAAUUAUUCAACAAUUCAAUGACCCUCCCCAUUCAGCUAUCACCUCCCCCUUGAUUCAAUGUUCUCCAUUUUGUAAUCAGGGAGGAGUUGUUUUUAACGAGGGGGCGUAACUGCAUUGCAUCACCGUUUGUGGUGUGCUGUUUGACCUGCUGACCAGGGAUGUGGGCGUGUUCUUCUUGAUAGUCAAAGUGGCCAAUCAGAGAUGAGGAAAGAGUUUCUAAGCAUAUUUUGUUUCAUUGACAACGCAAUGUGUUUACAUAGGCGGUGCUGUCCUUUGCAUGACGGGAGUGGACAUUUUGUUUUUAUUCUUAGAUAUAUCCUCUUUUUGGGGUUUAGGCUAGCCUUCCUCUUUUCGCUCUUGACUUUUGGGACUUUUUAGUUUCCUUGAAAUCUGAAGUUUGAGGACAUCUUUGUUGGAGGACAUCAACAAUAACGAAAAACACCUCAACUUAUUAUCACCUGAGGAACUGGAGACAUAAAAAUGUGAAAAAGUUAUUAUUGAAGGUUCAUAUUGAGGAAUGUAAUACAUGUGGACAGAAUAUGGUACUAAUAUAUUGGCCUUGCUAAAGUACUUACCAUAAUAUCUGUAAUAUAUGUACUGUAGCAUCUUAUGUCCAGCUACUACAGUGCUCACUGUAAUAUCUACGGCUAGCUACUACAGUACUUACUGUAACAUCUAAACCACGAUGACCUCAAUGUGUCCCUGCAUGCCUUCCAAGUUGGAUGAAGUAGCCCAUUGACACUGAUCUAAGAUCCGUCUAAAGUUUGCAUUAGCCCUCCUUAUGGUUAUGCUUAGGUUUGGAGGGAAAGUUGAUCCUACGUCUGUGGUUAGGGAUAUACUUAUACCAUCCCUUACCCCUAUGCUGGAAUAGAAAUGCAGUGAGAUUUAUUUUCUUUUUUCCAUUGGAGAAAUUGAGUAACAUUUUAUUUUGAAGGUCUGGUUAUAAACAGCUUAUAAACUGUUAAGAUAGUUCAUGUAUAGUUUAACUGUUAGUUAACCACUAAAUCGUUCUAUAUAUUUUAUUCAUGUAUUUAUGAAUAGUAGUAGUUUCGGAUGAAAAUAAUAUAUAUUACAAAGACCAGUAUGCCGAGUCAUAUAUAGUUAAACCAUGAACAAGAGAUAUAAGUUAAGUUGUAUCAUUAAGUUAUAAUAACAUGUAUUUAAUUCAUUCAAUGCAGAACAAGCUAUGUAUUAGUCAUUUAAUAGUUAAUGGUGUUUAUUAAUCAGCUUAUUAUCAGCCUUCCAGAUAAAGUGUUAGCUAUGAUUGUCCUACUGUACCAAUAGCGUGCUUGUCCUGCUGUUAUUGCUAGAGGCUUUAGUGAUGUACCUGUACACGUGUGCCAAGUUUUAAACGACAUAUGACGAUUGUGUGUGUGUGUGUGUGUGCAAACGACACUGUGUGCGUGUCAUUCAUUUCAAAGUUUACUGUACCUUGCCUUGCACUUUACAGAGAGAAACUCAAAAGAAAAAAUGUGUGUGCGAGCGACAUGUGCGUGUAUGUUGUAAAAGUGAUCGUUCACUUGUGUUUUUAUUGCUAUGGAAACGGUCGCUCUCCCUUGUAUUUAUGACACAUCUAUACAGAGAUCAGUGUGUGUUAAUAUGUAACAUAUAAAUAUAACCAACACGAAUGUUAAAGUAUAUUAUAUAUACAUAAUAGAUAUUAAAUGUUUAUUCACUUGUCAGGGGUUGUUCUACUGUACAUGCUCUCAGGGUGGCAAAAUUCCAGUAAUUUCUUCUAAAUUACCAGGUUUCAAGAAAUCCCGUUGGAACAUUUCCGGAUUUUCAGAAGUGAAUACGCAGGAAACCCAGGAAUUUUGGGAAAGUUAAUAGAAUUUUUCAACCCUAAUGUUCUCACUUUACACAUCCUAAUCUCAUGGAAGACUGGAUUCUGAAAAAUGUUGCGACACCGUUACUCCAACGCUAUGCCAACGAUUCCUUAGCGGCUGUUGUGUCUACGGCACGAGGCUAGGAUAUCAGUAUUGAAAUCUUGUGUGACAUAACAUAUAUAGUGGUCAAUCGCCAAGGUACUGAGAGGUAUGGAGAACAAUGCAACAACGACUUAACGAUCAAGUCUAGAGGAAAAGUCUUGGAAACGUUUUGUUGGACAACAUGUAUGUAACAUGUAAUAUGCCACGGUUAUGUAACAGUAUUUGACGGCAAGUUUUUGUGAACGCACGCCUACAGACCGCACUGGCUGGACUCUGCUGUGCAAUGCGCAAAGCUGGACUCGAUGUUGCACGUUGUUUGUUCAAAGAUGUUUAAUAAUGAUAAUCUUGUGCUGUUAAUUCGUUGUACUGGUUGAUCUCUGCAACCAGGCUGGAAGGUCAGCCUUUGGGCCUAAAAAGUAUUCCUUGAAGUCCUAAGUGUCAAGAUGUUGUAUAUUAUACUAUUUAAUGGUAUCAAUUGAUAAGGAGGAUGUUAUUGUGAUUCAAAUCUUGAAUGUAAUCAUGAAUUGUGAUCAAAUCUUGAAUUGUGAAUCUUUGAACUCAUCAUGUAUUGAACUUGAUUUGAGUGUUCCCAAAUAGAUUAUGCUCCAUCUCAGAGCCAAACUGUUAUUUUGACAGUUUUACUCGACAUAAAUGUUAGUUGCCAAUAAGACAGGAAUCAUGCAGGCUAUGAUUUUACUGUUUUACUGCAUAUGAUUGAUUAUCAUCAGUGAAUUUAGGCCGGAUUACAAUCAAAGGCCCCGUUGUCGAAAAGCAUACUGCACUUGACUUUUAAAGGUCAUUUACGCUUCAGCCAAUAUUAAGCGUGCUGCGCCCUUCGCGACAGCAGGCCUUUGAUUGAAUUCAGGCCCAAGCCUAUUUAUUUGUGCUAUCCAAUUGCCAAUCAUCCAUGUCCCAGAACCCAGAGAGAGAGACAGCAUUCACUGGCUGCUAGCAGGAGGCUGAAAUAAAGUGUAUCCAUUGCUGUUGGA